UUUUCCUUUCUAUGACAAAAAUCUAGGGUUCUUUGGUCGCUUUGUGUUUCAAAAGGUUGUCCGAGAACCCAAAAAUACAGAGACACAUUCAAACACAUUAUGUUCCCAACUGUAAUGACCAACAACAAUCCCAACCAUCUUCACUACCUUCUCUCUCCAUCACUCCCCACCACCUCACCUCCUCCCACAAACCAAGAGAUAAUCAACCAAACCAUCCUCUUCCACCACCAAAUGCACUUCACAGAUCACCACUUGUUCUUGCCCAACAACCACAUUUUCCCCCUAAUUACUGAUGCUCCAAUUGACAUGGGGAGCCCCAAGAAUGGUGGGGAAGUGAGCUCAUCACUCCCAGCUAACAAACCCAUGAAGAGGGACAGGCACAGCAAGAUAUGCACCGCGCAGGGCCUCCGGGACCGGAGGGUGAGGCUCUCGAUCGAGAUCUCGCGCAGGUUCUUCGACCUCCAGGACAUGCUAGGGUUCGACAAGGCGAGCAAAACCCUAGAGUGGCUCCUUACCAAGUCGAGGAAGGCCAUCAAGGAUCUGGCCAAGGCCAAGUGCAAGGGCUCCGUCCUUGGGCCGGUCGACAAUGAGAAGGGCUGGUCUUGUUCUACUUCCGAGUGCGAUCAGGCGGUUUCGGCAAGGGUUGUGAUCGCUGGGGAUGGCGUAAUUCCGAUGGAUGACAAGAGGUCAGUGCUGGGAGGAGACUCUAACCACCAAGAGACGUUCAAGAUGGUGUCAUCAAAUGGAGAUGGUGGUCUUCAUGUUUUGGCUAAAGAAUCUAGGGCAAGGGCAAGGGCUAGGGCAAGGGCUAGGACCAGAGCAAAAAUGAGCCACAACACAAGGCUUUGUCACCAUAACCAGUCCAAGAAACUAUGCCCUGAUCUGCAGGUCGCUAGUGAAGACGACGAAUCAAAUCAUCAUGUUCAAUUGCAAGCUGACCGCCAGACAUUCGGUGAUCAUCAGGAGGAGGUUGAUAUUGAGCAAUCUGUUCUGAUCGAUAGGAAGCUGAAGCAAAGUUCUGUCAUCAUUAACAAUUACCAGAAAAACUUAGAAAUUGUUGGGAAAGAUGCGAUCUGCGACAAUCACAACGAUAGCCAAUUUUACAACUACGAUGUAACUCAUCAAAACUGGGACAUCAUCCCCGCAAUUGCUCAAUCAACCAUUUCUUCAUUCACCAACAUGAACUUUUCAUCAGGGGUUCUGGUAUGUGGAAAGCGGUGGGAUUCUCCAAACAGCUAUAGUCUACUAUAAGAAGGGCAAUACAUGAACCCAAAAAAAGUUGUGUGGGAGAAAAGCAAACCCCUUGUGGAAUGAGAUUUGGAUCCACAAGACGGUAUGGGUCUCCAACGUGUGGUAUAUCAAUUAGUGUCGUCGUCUGGAAAAUGUGCAUUGACUUAUUUAUGAAUUGCGUAUCUGUAAUAAUCAGAUGUAUUCAUUUGGAUGUUGAAUAUUUAUCUGGGUCAAUCUACCCUUUGAAAUCAUUAGCUUGAAAUUACCAUUUUCAGCUUUGCCUGUUU